rnacentral:rRNA from 1 species
UCGUCCUACGGGGCGCAGCAGUGAGGAAUAUUGGUCAAUGGCCGAGAGGCUGAACCAGCCAAGUCGCGUGAGGGAAGACGGCCCUACGGGUUGUAAACCUCUUUUGUCAGGGAGCAAAGGGCGCCACGUGUGGCGUUUUGCGAGUACCUGAAGAAAAAGCAUCGGCUAACUCCGUGCCAGCAGCCGCGGUAAUACGGAGGAUGCGCGCGUUAUCCGGAUUUAUUGGGUUUAAAGGGUGCGCAGGCGGAAUGUCAAGUCAGCGGUAAAAUUUCGGGGCUCAACCCCGUCGUGCCGUUUAAACUGGG